UUUCCACAAAAAUGCAGAGUUUUUUUGUUAUUUGUGCGGGCAAAAAUCCUUGAUUAUGCAGCACGUUUUCUUAAAAGAAUGCGAUGGAAUAUGUGGGGUAUUUCUGCAAUUUUAUGUGAUGAAAUCGGGGGAACUUGCAAAAACUGCAGUUUGAUGAAAAACAGA